rnacentral:rRNA from 1 species
GGUUAAGCGACUAAGCGUACACGGUGGAUGCCCUGGCAGUCAGAGGCGAUGAAGGGCGUGCUAAUCUGCGAUAAGCGCCGGUAAGGUGAUAUGAACCGUUAUAACCGGCGAUACCCGAAUGGGGAAACCCAGUGUGAYUCGUCACACUAUCAUUAACUGAAUCCAUAGGUUAAUGAGGCGAACCGGGGGAACUGAAACAUCUAAGUACCCCGAGGAAAAGAAAUCAACCGAGAUUCCCCCAGUAGCGGCGAGCGAACGGGGAGGAGCCCAGAGCCUGAAUCAGCAUGUGUGUUAGUGGAAGCGUCUGGAAAGGCGCGCGAUACAGGGUGACAGCCCCGUACACAAAAGCGCAUGUGCUGUGAGCUCGAUGAGUAGGGCGGGACACGUGGUAUCCUGUCUGAAUAUGGGGGGACCAUCCUCCAAGGCUAAAUACUCCUGACUGACCGAUAGUGAACCAGUACCGUGAGGGAAAGGCGAAAAGAACCCCGGCGAGGGGAGUGAAAAAGAACCUGAAACCGUGUACGUACAAGCAGUGGGAGCCCCACCACCAAAGCAUUCUCUGGUGUUGAAGGCCCUGCAAAGCAGCAUCGCGGUGGCGGAGCGUCGUUUGCGACGCCCAACACACAAAACAAGCGGUGAGUGCUUUGGGGUGGGGUGACUGCGUACCUUUUGUAUAAUGGGUCAGCGACUUAUAUUCUGUAGCAAGGUUAACCGWAUAGGGGAGCCGSAGGGAAACCGAGUCUUAAYYGGGCGUUAAGUUGCAGGGUAUAGACCCGAAACCCGGUGAUCUAGCCAUGGGCAGGUUGAAGGUUGGGUAACACUAACUGGAGGACCGAACCGACUAAUGUUGAAAAAUUAGCGGAUGACCUGUGGCUGGGGGUGAAAGGCCAAUCAAACCGGGAGAUAGCUGGUUCUCCCCGAAAGCUAUUUAGGUAGCGCCUCGUGAAUUCAUCUCCGGGGGUAGAGCACUGUUUCGGCUAGGGGGYCAUCCCGRCUUACCAACCCGAUGCAAACUGCGAAUACCGGAGAAUGUUAUCACGGGAGACACACGGCGGGUGCUAACGUCCGUCGUGAAGAGGGAAACAACCCAGACCGCCAGCUAAGGUCCCAAAGUCAUGGUUAAGUGGGAAACGAUGUGGGAAGGCCCAGACAGCCAGGAUGUUGGCUUAGAAGCAGCCAUCAUUUAAAGAAAGCGUAAUAGCUCACUGGUCGAGUCGGCCUGCGCGGAAGAUGUAACGGGGCUAAACCAUGCACCGAAGCUGCGGCAGCGACACUCAGGUGUUGUUGGGUAGGGGAGCGUUCUGUAAGCCUGYGAAGGUGGCCUGUGAGGGUUGCUGGAGGUAUCAGAAGUGCGAAUGCUGACAUAAGUAACGAUAAAGCGGGUGAAAAGCCCGCUCGCCGGAAGACCAAGGGUUCCUGUCCAACGUUAAUCGGGGCAGGGUGAGUCGACCCCUAAGGCGAGGCCGAAAGGCGUAGUCGAUGGGAAACGGGUUAAUAUUCCCGUACUUGGUGUUACUGCGAAGGGGGGACGGAGAAGGCUAUGUUGGCCGGGCGACGGUUGUCCCGGUUUAAGCGUGUAGGUGUGUGUUCCAGGUAAAUCCGGUUCACUUUAACACUGAGGCGUGAYGACGAGGCACUACGGUGCUGAAGCAACAAAUGCCCUGCUUCCAGGAAAAGCCUCUAAGCAUCAGGUAACAUCAAAUCGUACCCCAAACCGACACAGGUGGUCAGGUAGAGAAUACCAAGGCGCUUGAGAGAACUCGGGUGAAGGAACUAGGCAAAAUGGUGCCGUAACUUCGGGAGAAGGCACGCUGACACGUAGGUGAAGUGAUUUACUCAYGGAGCUGAAGUCAGUCGAAGAUACCAGCUGGCUGCAACUGUUUAUUAAAAACACAGCACUGUGCAAACACGAAAGUGGACGUAUACGGUGUGACGCCUGCCCGGUGCCGGAAGGUUAAUUGAUGGGGUCAGCGCAAGCGAAGCUCCUGAUCGAAGCCCCGGUAAACGGCGGCCGUAACUAUAACGGUCCUAAGGUAGCGAAAUUCCUUGUCGGGUAAGUUCCGACCUGCACGAAUGGCGUAAUGAUGGCCAGGCUGUCUCCACCCGAGACUCAGUGAAAUUGAACUCGCUGUGAAGAUGCAGUGUACCCGCGGCAAGACGGAAAGACCCCGUGAACCUUUACUAUAGCUUGACACUGAACAUUGAGCCUUGAUGUGUAGGAUAGGUGGGAGGCUUUGAAGUGUGGACGCCAGUCUGCAUGGAGCCGACCUUGAAAUACCACCCUUUAAUGUUUGAUGUUCUAACGUGGACCCGUWAYCCGGGUUGCGGACAGUGUCUGGUGGGUAGUUUGACUGGGGCGGUCUCCUCCUAAAGAGUAACGGAGGAGCACGAAGGUUGGCUAAUCCUGGUCGGACAUCAGGAGGUUAGUGCAAUGGCAUAAGCCAGCUUGACUGCGAGCGUGACGGCGCGAGCAGGUGCGAAAGCAGGUCAUAGUGAUCCGGUGGUUCUGAAUGGAAGUCCUAGUACGAGAGGACCGGAGUGGACGCAUCACUGGUGUUCGGGUUGUCAUGCCAAUGGCACUGCCCGGUAGCUAAAUGCGGAAGAGAUAAGUGCUGAAAGCAUCUAAGCACGAAACUUGCCCCGAGAUGAGUUCUCCCUGAGACUUAGAGUCUCCUGAAGGAACGUUGAAGACGACGACGUUGAUAGGCCGGGUGUGUAAGCGCAGCGAUGCGUUGAGCUAACCGGUACUAAUGAACCGUGAGGCUUAACCUU